rnacentral:sRNA from 1 species
UCUCAUUGUCAAUACUGGUUUCCAGUUGC